rnacentral:rRNA from 1 species
AUGCCAUGUGCUGGGAAAACAACUUUGGUUGCUCAUGUGUACAAAACUGUAAAAGUAUCCUUCGAUGCCUCUGCAUGGAUAACUGUGUCGGAGAGUUAUCAUGUUAAGGACUUGCUGAAGAAGAUUGCCAAAGAAUUUGGCAUACUAGUUGAUGUGUCUAACAUGGAGAUCAAAAACCUAGCAGAGACCAUCUAUGAAUACCUCCAAGAUUAUUCCAUCAAGAGGAGGACCGUAAUGAGACAUUGGAUUGCUGUUGUAUUCAUCAAGGAAAAGGUGAACCAAGCAUUGGAGGAAGUGGCAGAGGGUUACUUGACUGAACUUGUGAACCGAAGCCUACUGCAGGUAUAUCAACAUUGGUUUCCUGAUGAGGCCUGUCCUAGAAUCUUCAAGCCUGCUGUCAACGUUGGAUCUGCAAGCGAUCACCGUCCACUCGCGAUUCCAUUUUUGCGCCGAUAUCGCCAGCAGCCUCAUGCAGCUCGGCGACCCCGACGUGCUGCGCCGCCUCGCGGGCAGCUCGGGCAGUCGCCGGAGGGGAUGCAGAGCAUGGGAACCACCUUCUACACGAGCGGGCUCGGCGUCGGAAACUUCCUCAACAGCCUGCUUGUGACGUUUGUCGACCGGGCUACCAGGGCGAGCGCCGGCAAGAGCUGGAUCGGUGACAACCUGAACGACUCGCACCUCGACUACUACUACGUGUUGCUGCUGCUACUCUCCGUGGUGAACAUGGCGCUCUUUAUGUGUAAUUAA